GCAAUGACCCCCAGAGCUCCCCUCUGUCCCACCUGUUUGGUGACUCUGGGACGAGGUGGGGUGGUCACAGAACCACACAGCUCUUCAGGCUGGAAAAGCCCCCUGAGCUCCUCAACCCCAUGCUCACUGCCCAUGUCCCUAUGCCACAUCCCCAUGGCUCUGGAACACCCCCAGAGAUGGUGACCCCCACCCCUGUGCAGCCUGUGCUGACUGCUCUUCAGAGAAGGAAUUUCUCCUAAUACCCAGCCUGCCCCUCCCCUGGCAUAACACGAGGCUGCCACCUCUCAUCCUAUCGCUGUUCCCUGGGAGCAGAGGCCAAUCCCGACCUCACCCCAACCUCCUGCCAGGAGCUGUAGGGAGUGAUGAGGUCUUCCCUGAGAUUCCUUUGCUCCAGAUUGAUCCCAGCUGUGUCACAAGGGCAUGGCAGUCACACACCCGGACCAAUCAGCAUGGACGGGGAGGUUCUGCCAUCCAGAACCCAAGGAACCCAGGAGGGGACCUUCAUCCCAACACACAUCUGCAGAGCAGCCUCCAAGGAGCUGUUCUCUCACACCUCACAUCAGCAGGGUUUCAAGCUGCAGGUUGGUUUUGUUGUCUGAGCAUUGUUGACUCAGUUGUAACUGAAGAGAGCUGGAGGAGAACCCAAUGAAGAAUGCCCGCAGCCCUCUGGCACCCGAUGAUCCGACACGGCACCAUCGAUGAAUUUGCAAAAAGAAUCAUUUGUCUUCUGUUCCUAUAGCAACCAGUAAUUUUGAUUCUUGUGUAUUCAUGUACGUGUUGGUGCCUUGUUUCCAUGGCGAGACACAGAAUCCUGCAGCAAGGAUGGCCCCGCAGCAAAGGUGGCCCCAUGGGAAGGAUGGCCCCAUGGGAACAAUAGCCCCGCAGGUGUGGUGCAAAAGAGAAGGAGCAAACAUCACUGGAAAGCUGAGAUUCUUCAUCAGUGCAAUCACAAAUCCAGGGGAAAACAAGAUGCAUAAACCCCAGGAUAAAGAAAAAAAUAAAUCAAAAAGAUCGGACAGUUCCUCCUGCCUCUUUCUUGUGUUUUCUUGCUCCAUAAAUCAUCUUAUUUAUAUAAUGGAGAACAGUAAAGCAAGGCAGAUUUAGAAAACAUUUUUUCCUGUCCGAGAGUAGAAUGAUCGAUGCUGGGCAAAAAUACAGUGUCUAAGUUAGAAAAAAGCUUUCAGGAAUGAUUUAAGGAAACGCACGGACAGAUUGGGUUUGGAUGCUGAAAGAUGCCGAACGCACCAAAUUAAUUAAUUAAAUAUCUGGGCUCGGCCUUGAACAGUUAAAACUCAACAGAAGGAAAAAAUGGCAUAAGGCCGCCUUCAAAUCACACCCACUCUCCAUAGCACGAGUAGGAACGGCUGCAGGAUCAGAAAGUGACCUGAGUGUGCAAAGACAGAGCAGAAGUCUUCAGCUCCAGCACAGGAGCAGCUCUCCCUCUCCUGCAUGCUGGUGAGAGCUCCCAGCGAGCCAGGUGCCCUCGGCCAGCGGGAGCAGAGCUGAGAGACGUGGGACUUAUCACCGUGCUGCGAGUGCCCGCGAGCUGCCCAGCCUGGAACACGGGUUUUUCUUUUUCUUGCUCAGAUGCAAAGCCUUGGCACCAUGCAAACACUGCAUUUAUUCAAAGUCUUUUGCACAGAUCUUGCCUGGUUGAAAAUAUGUUUUGUCGAGAAAAACAGGAAGUGAUCCAUCUCUGCCAGUGCUCUGUGUCGGUGACCCACGUGGCUCUGCCGUGCUCAAGCUGGAGAGGAUGGGGUG
rnacentral:lncRNA from 1 species